GGGACGUUUAUUACCCAAGUGCUGUGCUUUAGAAGCAAAUGAAAUUGUUGAGAAUGAAAACAGAAUGACAAUUUAAAGAAAAGUUGGAAUACAAAAUGGGUUGCUGAAUCAGGAACUGUUUGGAGCUGAUGUGUCCCCCAGUUACUAAAUGCCUCAGAGCAGACAGUGGCUGCCAUCAGAGCUUUUCUGGAGCUUCUACAGAUGGAAAAUAUCAGAAUCUUCAAUGGACCAAACGUGCCUCUGGGGAAUCAGCAAAGUGUUCUGCAAGAUCUGAAGAAGAUUCGGGGGGAGGAGACCAUGAGGGGAAUUAUCUGCACUUCAAAGUGUUUCCCUCAAUAUCACUAUUUCA